GACGAACGCUGGCGGCGUGCUUAACACAUGCAAGUCGUACGGUAAGGCCCUUUCGGGGGUACACGAGUGGCGAACGGGUGAGUAACACGUGAGUAACCUGCCCACAACUUUGGGAUAACGCUAGGAAACUGGUGCUAAUACUGGAUAUGUGCCCCUGCUGCAUGGUGGGGGUUGGAAAGCUCCGGCGGUUGUGGAUGGACUCGCGGCCUAUCAGCUUGUUGGUGGGGUAGUGGCCUACCAAGGCGGCGACGGGUAGCCGGCCUGAGAGGGUGACCGGCCACAUUGGGACUGAGAUACGGCCCAGACUCCUACGGGAGGCAGCAGUGGGGAAUAUUGCACAAGGGGCGCAAGCCUGAUGCAGCAACGCCGCGGGCGGGAUGACGGCCUUCGGGUUGUAAACCGCUUUCAGCAGGGACGAAGCUUUUUGUGACGGUACCUGCAGAAGAAGCACCGGCUAACUACGUG
rnacentral:rRNA from 1 species